rnacentral:rRNA from 1 species
GAUGAACGCUGGCGGCGUGCUUAACACAUGCAAGUCGAACGAAGAUAUUUAGAAUGAGAGCUUCGGCAGGAUUUUUAUCUAUCUUAGUGGCGGACGGGUGAGUAACGUGUGGGCAACCUGCCCUGUACUGGGGAAUAAUCAUUGGAAACGAUGACUAAUACCGCAUGUGGUCCUCGGAAGGCAUCUUCUGAGGAAGAAAGGAUUUAUUCGGUACAGGAUGGGCCCGCAUCUGAUUAGCUAGUUGGUGAGAUAACAGCCCACCAAGGCGACGAUCAGUAGCCGACCUGAGAGGGUGAUCGGCCACAUUGGGACUGAGACACGGCCCAAACUCCUACGGGAGGCAGCAGUGGGGAAUAUUGCACAAUGGGCGAAAGCCUGAUGCAGCAACGCCGCGUGAAGGAUGAAGGGUUUCGGCUCGUAAACUUCUAUCAAUAGGGAAGAAAGAAAUGACGG